rnacentral:rRNA from 1 species
GUGGGGAAUUUUGGACAAUGGGCGCAAGCCUGAUCCAGCCAUGCCGCGUGCAGGAUGAAGGCCUUCGGGUUGUAAACUGCUUUUGUACGGAACGAAAAAGCUCUCUCUAAUACAGGGGGUGAAUGACGGUACCGUAAGAAUAAGCACCGGCUAACUACGUGCCAGCAGCCGCGGUAAUACGUAGGGUGCAAGCGUUAAUCGGAAUUACUGGGCGUAAAGCGUGCGCAGGCGGUUAUGUAAGACAGAGGUGAAAUCCCCGGGCUCAACCUGGGAACUGCCUUUGUGACUGCAUAGCUGGAGUGCGGCAGAGGGGGAUGGAAUUCCGCGUGUAGCAGUGAAAUGCGUAGAUAUGCGGAGGAACACCGAUGGCGAAGGCAAUCCCCUGGGCCUGCACUGACGCUCAUGCACGAAAGCGUGGGGAGCAAACAGGAUUAGAAACCCGGGUAGUCC